rnacentral:rRNA from 1 species
GUGAGGAAUUUUCCGCAAUGGGCGAAAGCCUGACGGAGCAAUGCCGCGUGAAGGAUGAAGGCCUAUGGGUUGUAAACUUCUUUUCUCAGAAAAGAAUUAUGACGGUAUCUGAGGAAUAAGCAUCGGCUAACUCUGUGCCAGCAGCCGCGGUAAGACAGAGGAUGCAAGCGUUAUCCGGAAUGAUUGGGCGUAAAGCGUCUGUAGGUUGUUUAAAAAGUAUUCUGUCAAAGAUUAGGGCUUAACCCUAGAUAGGCAGAAUAAACUUUUAAGCUAGAAUUUGGUAGAGGCAGAGGGAAUUCCCGGUGGAGCGGUGAAAUGCGUAGAUAUCGGGAGGAACACCAAAGGCGAAGGCACUCUGCUGGGCCAAUACUAACACUGAGAGACGAAAGCGAGGGGAGCAAAUGGGAUUAGAAACCCGGGUAGUCC